GAUUAAGAACGUAGCGAAAUGCGAUAAGUAGUGUGAAUUGCAGAAUUCAGUGAAUCAUCGAAUCUUUGAACGCACAUUGCGCCCCUUGGUAUUCCAUGGGGCAUGCCUGUUCGAGCGUCAUUUGUACCUUCAAGCUUUGCUUGGUGUUGGGUGUUUGUCUCGCCUUUGCGUGUAGACUCGCCUUAAAAUAAUUGGCAGCCGGCGUAUUGAUUUCGGAGCGCAGUACAUCUCGCGCUUUGCACUCAUAACGACAGCGUCCAAAAGUACAUUUUACACUCUUGACCUCGGAUCAGGUAGGGAUACCCGCUGAACUUAAGCAUAUCAAUAAGCGGAGGA
rnacentral:misc_RNA from 1 species